rnacentral:rRNA from 1 species
CGUUAUCGGAAUUACUGGGCGUAAAGCGCAUGCAGGUGGUUUGUUAAGUCAGAUGUGAAAGCCCGGGGCUCAACCUCGGAAUAGCAUUUGAAACUGGCAGACUAGAGUACUGUAGAGGGGGGUAGAAUUUCAGGUGUAGCGGUGAAAUGCGUAGAGAUCUGAAGGAAUACCGGUGGCGAAGGCGGCCCCCUKGGACAGAUACUGACACUCAGAUGCGAAAGCGUGGGGGAGCAAACAGGAUUAGAUACCCUGGUAGUCCACGCCGUAAACGAUGUCUACUUGGAGGUUGUGGCCUUGAGCCGUGGCUUUCGGAGCUAACGCGUUAAGUAGACCGCCUGGGGAGUACGGUCGCAAGAUUAAAACUCAAAUGAAUUGACGGGGGCCCGCACAAGCGGUGGAGCAUGUGGUUUAAUUCGAUGCAACGCGAAGAACCUUACCUACUCUUGACAUCCAGAGAACUUUCCAGAGAUGGAUUGGUGCCUUCGGGAACUCUGAGACAGGUGCUGCAUGGCUGUCGUCAGCUCGUGUUGUGAAAUGUUGGGUUAAGUCCCGCAACGAGCGCAACCCUUAUCCUUGUUUGCCAGCGAGUAAUGUCGGGAACUCCAGGGAGACUGCCGGUGAUAAACCGGAGGAAGGUGGGGACGACGUCAAGUCAUCAUGGCCCUUACGAGUAGGGCUACACACGUGCUACAAUGGCGCAUACAGAGGGCGGCCAACUUGCGAAAGUGAGCGAAUCCCAAAAAGUGCGUCGUAGUCCGGAUUGGAGUCUGCAACUCGACUCCAUGAAGUCGGAAUCGCUAGUAAUCGUGGAUCAGAAUGCCACGGUGAAUACGUUCCCGGGCCUUGUACACACCGCCCGUCACACCAUGGGA